GUUCUGAAAUAUGAACUCCAGGUGUAGCUGAAGCUUUUAAUGUUUUUUGUUCAAUGAUUAAAGUCCUACGUGAUCUGAGUUCAGACCGGAGUAAUCCAGGUUGGUUUCUAUCUAUUUACAGUUUCGCCCAGUACGAAAGGAUAAGAGAAAUGGGGCCGCCUU